UUAAGCGACUAAGCGUACACGGUGGAUGCCCUGGCAGUCAGAGGCGAUGAAGGACGUGCUAAUCUGCGAUAAGCGUCGGUAAGGUGAUAUGAACCGUUAUAACCGGCGAUUUCCGAAUGGGGAAACCCAGUGUGAUUCGUCACACUAUCAUUAACUGAAUCCAUAGGUUAAUGAGGCGAACCGGGGGAACUGAAACAUCUAAGUACCCCGAGGAAAAGAAAUCAACCGAGAUUCCCCCAGUAGCGGCGAGCGAACGGGGAGCAGCCCAGAGCCUGAAUUAGUGUGUGUGUUAGUGGAAGCGUCUGGAAAGGCGCGCGAUACAGGGUGACAGCCCCGUACACAAAAAUGCACAUGCUGUGAGCUCGAUGAGUAGGGCGGGACACGUGGUAUCCUGUCUGAAUAUGGGGGGACCAUCCUCCAAGGCUAAAUACUCCUGACUGACCGAUAGUGAACCAGUACCGUGAGGGAAAGGCGAAAAGAACCCCGGCGAGGGGAGUGAAAAAGAACCUGAAACCGUGUACGUACAAGCAGUGGGAGCACGCUUAGGCGUGUGACUGCGUACCUUUUGUAUAAUGGGUCAGCGACUUAUAUUCUGUAGCAAGGUUAACCGAAUAGGGGAGCCGAAGGGAAACCGAGUCUUAACUGGGCGUUAAGUUGCAGGGUAUAGACCCGAAACCCGGUGAUCUAGCCAUGGGCAGGUUGAAGGUUGGGUAACACUAACUGGAGGACCGAACCGACUAAUGUUGAAAAAUUAGCGGAUGACUUGUGGCUGGGGGUGAAAGGCCAAUCAAACCGGGAGAUAGCUGGUUCUCCCCGAAAGCUAUUUAGGUAGCGCCUCGUGAAUUCAUCUCCGGGGGUAGAGCACUGUUUCGGCAAGGGGGUCAUCCCGACUUACCAACCCGAUGCAAACUGCGAAUACCGGAGAAUGUUAUCACGGGAGACACACGGCGGGUGCUAACGUCCGUCGUGAAGAGGGAAACAACCCAGACCGCCAGCUAAGGUCCCAAAGUCAUGGUUAAGUGGGAAACGAUGUGGGAAGGCCCAGACAGCCAGGAUGUUGGCUUAGAAGCAGCCAUCAUUUAAAGAAAGCGUAAUAGCUCACUGGUCGAGUCGGCCUGCGCGGAAGAUGUAACGGGGCUAAACCAUGCACCGAAGCUGCGGCAGCGACGCUUAUGCGUUGUUGGGUAGGGGAGCGUUCUGUAAGCCUGUGAAGGUGUGCUGUGAGGCAUGCUGGAGGUAUCAGAAGUGCGAAUGCUGACAUAAGUAACGAUAAAGCGGGUGAAAAGCCCGCUCGCCGGAAGACCAAGGGUUCCUGUCCAACGUUAAUCGGGGCAGGGUGAGUCGACCCCUAAGGCGAGGCCGAAAGGCGUAGUCGAUGGGAAACAGGUUAAUAUUCCUGUACUUGGUGUUACUGCGAAGGGGGGACGGAGAAGGCUAUGUUGGCCGGGCGACGGUUGUCCCGGUUUAAGCGUGUAGGCUGGUUUUCCAGGCAAAUCCGGAAAAUCAAGGCUGAGGCGUGAUGACGAGGCACUACGGUGCUGAAGCAACAAAUGCCCUGCUUCCAGGAAAAGCCUCUAAGCAUCAGGUAACAUCAAAUCGUACCCCAAACCGACACAGGUGGUCAGGUAGAGAAUACCAAGGCGCUUGAGAGAACUCGGGUGAAGGAACUAGGCAAAAUGGUGCCGUAACUUCGGGAGAAGGCACGCUGAUAUGUAGGUGAAGUCCCUCGCUCGUGGAGCUGAAAUCAGUCGAAGAUACCAGCUGGCUGCAACUGUUUAUUAAAAACACAGCACUGUGCAAACACGAAAGUGGACGUAUACGGUGUGACGCCUGCCCGGUGCCGGAAGGUUAAUUGAUGGGGUUAGCGCAAGCGAAGCUCUUGAUCGAAGCCCCGGUAAACGGCGGCCGUAACUAUAACGGUCCUAAGGUAGCGAAAUUCCUUGUCGGGUAAGUUCCGACCUGCACGAAUGGCGUAAUGAUGGCCAGGCUGUCUCCACCCGAGACUCAGUGAAAUUGAACUCGCUGUGAAGAUGCAGUGUACCCGCGGCAAGACGGAAAGACCCCGUGAACCUUUACUAUAGCUUGACACUGAACAUUGAGCCUUGAUGUGUAGGAUAGGUGGGAGGCUUUGAAGUGUGGACGCCAGUCUGCAUGGAGCCGACCUUGAAAUACCACCCUUUAAUGUUUGAUGUUCUAACGUUGACCCGUAAUCCGGGUUGCGGACAGUGUCUGGUGGGUAGUUUGACUGGGGCGGUCUCCUCCUAAAGAGUAACGGAGGAGCACGAAGGUUGGCUAAUCCUGGUCGGACAUCAGGAGGUUAGUGCAAUGGCAUAAGCCAGCUUGACUGCGAGCGUGACGGCGCGAGCAGGUGCGAAAGCAGGUCAUAGUGAUCCGGUGGUUCUGAAUGGAAGGGCCAUCGCUCAACGGAUAAAAGGUACUCCGGGGAUAACAGGCUGAUACCGCCCAAGAGUUCAUAUCGACGGCGGUGUUUGGCACCUCGAUGUCGGCUCAUCACAUCCUGGGGCUGAAGUAGGUCCCAAGGGUAUGGCUGUUCGCCAUUUAAAGUGGUACGCGAGCUGGGUUUAGAACGUCGUGAGACAGUUCGGUCCCUAUCUGCCGUGGGCGCUGGAGAACUGAGGGGGGCUGCUCCUAGUACGAGAGGACCGGAGUGGACGCAUCACUGGUGUUCGGGUUGUCAUGCCAAUGGCACUGCCCGGUAGCUAAAUGCGGAAGAGAUAAGUGCUGAAAGCAUCUAAGCACGAAACUUGCCCCGAGAUGAGUUCUCCCUGACUCCUUGAGAGUCCUGAAGGAACGUUGAAGACGACGACGUUGAUAGGCCGGGUGUGUAAGCGCAGCGAUGCGUUGAGCUAACCGGUACUAAUGAACCGUGAGGCUUAACCUU
rnacentral:rRNA from 1 species